AUUUGACUGGAAUUCCUGCCAAGUCAUACUUUAAUAAAUAAUCCUGUUUGGUUUAUAUUGAACUGAUAAAUUGGAUCACGACUAGAUCCCUGUAUUGAUUUCACACUGGACACAGCUCCCACAAUGUUCAGCCAAUAACGUUGUGCCAUUGAUUUUUCCGUAGGGGCUGGGCACCAUUGAUUUUCCAACGGAUUGGGCACUGCCUUGGAAAUCUACUUACAGAGUAUUGUGAAUCCUUGGUCCAUUCUUAAAUUGGGGCUAAAGAAUAGGCCAUCACCUUCCAUAUUCAAU